rnacentral:lncRNA from 1 species
CCCAGGCAAGCCCCAUUUUCUAGCAGGUAUCUCCCCUCAAAAUGAGGCAGUGUACCAUUUAAAGGUAAAAGAAGUCACCAUUCAGUUGCUGAGUGUGUUACAACUGCAGUUUCUGAUUCUUUCUCUCCCUCUCUGCCUCUGUAAGGCCACACACAGUGCAUUUCUGCCAACCUGUAAACAGGCUGGUAGGCAUGAUUUGAACAGAAAAGUUGCACUGAUGAAGAAAAGAGCUUUGGCAGUAUGUAUUUCAUUGUCUCCCCAAAAAGUGUGCCUUCUUUGACCAAAUAAAAGCAAAGCUUUAUGAUUUUCUUUUUUAUCCAGGUGGCAUUAACCCUCUUUAUUAGACCUCUGUGUGUUGGAUGAGUGGCUCUGACAUGUCACCACCUCACCUGAUCAGCUCAAGCCCCAAUUCCUGCCCCAGUGAGACCGGCUGGCCAACUGUGACGGCAACACGGCUAAAGUUUGCAUGAGGGUGGCAUCAGCCAAGCCAGGCAAGAGCCUUUUGGAGAGGUGCAGUGUGACAGGGAGGCUGUCGGAGGCAGAAGUGUUUGCAUGGAUUGGAGCCUGCAACUACCGUAACCAUCCCUGUGGCAAGAACACCCACAGAAACAGGUCUCAACUCUGGCCAGAUCCUGGUUUUUGGAUGGAGUGACUUGAAGUGACACAUUUUGGCAGGAGUCACAUAACAUUUUAUACUAUUGCCUCUCUCUUUGUUACUUAGGCCUUGAGCUUGAAGGUUUAAAGCACAGCUUCUGGAAAAAAAGAUGCAGACAGCAAGACUUCCAAACACUGGCCCUUUAGAAAGCUCUGAGCUGAACCUGCCAAGUGUGUGAGUGAAGGAGAGAAGGUUAUGAGUCUUACAUCUAGAUAUGUUUUUGCUUAAUAUUCACCAUGGGCACACCUACAACUGGAACAACAACAGCUCUGGAUAGGAGAGAGCUCUGCAAAAGAAGGUUGCAGUGAUAGGGAUGGCCAGCCUGGGCCAUGGGAAUAGUUCCAUGUCUCUCCCAUGCAUCUGUUUCCUUCCAGAGGUUGGGCAUGUCUUGCAUCUACACAAUAAGGGAAGGAAUGUGAGCCCUCCACCACACCUCUAGCUUUCAACAUUUGCUGAGCCUGUUUGUCUAUUUUGGUUUUGGUUUAUUUUUUGUUUUGUUUUGUUUUGUUUUCACCUAUGACUUUUGAGAUUGUUAUCUCAGCAGGGUAGGGACUGCUUUGUGUUCUACAUUUGUACACCAACUGUGUCUGGGAUCUUGAGCUGAUGUGCUAAUAAUGAAUAAGCAUAAUUUUCUUGGGGGAUACUCUUCAAGGAUCUAUCUGGAACUGAUUGGACUGGUGAUAAAAUAAACCAUUUCCUUUGGAAGAAAAGAACUCA